CCAUCCCAUCCGUGGAGGCAUUCAAGGCCAGGCUGGAUGUGGCUCUGGGCAGCCUGGUCUGGUGGUUGGCGACCGUGCCCAUUGUGGUCCUUUUCAAGCCAGGCCAUUCUAUGGUCCUGUGAUUCAUUUGUAGAGCUGUAACACCUGCAUCAUUUCAAGUGUCUUUUGGUUUUUGUUUGUUUGUUUGUUUGUUUGUUGUGUUUGUUUUUUGUUUGUUGCCAGAUGCACUCUGCCAAGUUAGGCAUUAUUUUGGAAAGCUCUGCUUAAUGGCCCGG
rnacentral:lncRNA from 1 species